AUUGAACGCUGGCGGCAGGCCUAACACAUGCAAGUCGAACGGAGAAUUAGCAAUCAUUCUUAGUGGCGAACGGGUGAGUAACGCGUAGACAACCUACCCUUUAGAUGGGGACAACACCGCGAAAGUGGUGCUAAUACCGAAUCUUGCUUGAGAAGCGCAUGCUUUUCAAACUAAAGAUGGCCUCUAUUUAUAAGCUAUCGCUAAAGAACGGGACUGCGUCGGAUUAGCUAGUUGGUGAGAUAAAAGCGCACCAAGGCAACGAUCAGUAGCAGGUCUGAGAGGAUGAACGGCCACACUGGGACUGAGACACGGCCCAGACUCCUACGGGAGGCAGCAGUGGGGAAUCUUCCGCAAUGGACGAAAGUCUGACGGAGCAACGCCGCGUGAGUGAUGAAGGUUUUCGGAUCGUAAAACUCUGUUGUUAAGGACGAAUGUAUAGAUUGUGAAUAGUGGUAUAUAAUGACGGUACUUAACGAGGAAGCCACGGCUAACUACGUGCCAGCAGCCGCCGUAA
rnacentral:rRNA from 1 species